rnacentral:lncRNA from 1 species
GAUUGCUACAGUGAAAACACUACUUGCCUACAGCUUUGCUCAAUUAAUUCAUAAGGACUACAUAGGUAAUUCAUUAAAUCUUAAUGAAGAUUGGAUAUAGAGGAGUAUAGUAGUUGGAUCCAAAUCUGCAGCUCAAAAAUCAAAUCCUAACCCCUUAGACUGUCAAAUCCAGAGAAAAGUCAAGGCCCUUUCUCUGCAGCCAGCGAUGGCUAUCAUCCCAGAAACCUACACUUCACAGUCUAGCACAGCAUUAAAAAAUGGUUUGUUGACUGAAUGACUUGCUAAAAUAGAUGAAUAAACAAACGGAUGGUUGAAUUUGCUCAUGAGAUAAGGGUACCCACCACCCAGCAUGUGUCUAGCACAUAGUACACAUAGGAGCAAUGACCAUCUCUGAUGUUAUUACUUUUACUGAAUAGAACCAAUAGCUCACAGGGCAGGCAUCAAACCCAUGCUGUCUCAUUCCAAAGCUUAUGUACUUGGCAAUAUUAAAUGAUCUACUGCCUUUUUCUAUAGGAGGCAGUCAAUACUUGAAUGAAUGAGUGGAUGAAUGCUUCCCCUCUAUGCAAGAAGCUAUGGUGGUAUCCUCUUGGAUUGCUCUUUCUGCCACUCUCGAAGCCUAACUCUCAGUAAGUAGACCUCUGUUUCAAAGGCAAGAAGAAGGGAGUGC